GGUUAAGUGACGAAGCGUAGACGGUGGAUGCCUAGGCAGUUGGAGGCGAUGAAGGACGUACUAACUUGCGAUAAGCCAUGAUGAGGCAGUAAGAGCCGCAUGAGUCAUGGAUUUCCGAAUGGGGAAACCCAGUGUGCUUGCACACUAUCCUUAACUGAAUUCAUAGGUUAAGGAAGCGAACCCGGAGAACUGAAACAUCUAAGUACCCGGAGGAAAAGAAAUCAACCGAGAUUUCCCUAGUAGCGGCGAGCGAACGGGAAUUAGCCCUUAAGCAAUCAUGGUGUUAGUGGAAUGAGCUGGAAAGCUCGACGAUACAGGGUGAUAGUCCCGUACACGACGAUGCCAUGGAUGUGAAAACGAGUAGGUCGGGACACGUGUUAUCUUGACUGAAUAUGGGGGGACCAUCCUCCAAGGCUAAAUACUCCCAACUGACCGAUAGUGAACCAGUACCGUGAGGGAAAGGCGAAAAGAACCCCGGCGAGGGGAGUGAAAUAGAACCUGAAACCGUCUACGUACAAGCAGUAGGAGCACCUUCGUGGUGUGACUGCGUACCUUUUGUAUAAUGGGUCAGCGACUUAUAUUUUGUAGCAAGGUUAACCGAAUAGGGGAGCCGUAGGGAAACCGAGUCUUAACUGGGCGCUUAGUUGCAAGGUAUAGACCCGAAACCGGGCGAUCUAGCCAUGGGCAGGUUGAAGAUUGAGUAACAUCAAUUGGAGGACCGAACUCACUAAUGUUGAAAAAUUAGGAGAUGACCUGUGGCUCGGAGUGAAAGGCUAAUCAAGCCCGGAGAUAGCUGGUUCUCCCCGAAAGCUAUUUAGGUAGCGCCUCGGACGAAUACCACUGGGGGUAGAGCACUGUUUGGGCUAGGGGGUCAUCCCGACUUACCAACCCCAUGCAAACUCCGAAUACCAGUGAGUACUAUCCGGGAGACACACGGCGGGUGCUAACGUCCGUCGUGAAGAGGGAAACAACCCAGACCGCCAGCUAAGGUCCCGAAGUCAUGGCUAAGUGGGAAACGAUGUGGGAAGGCUCAGACAGCUAGGAGGUUGGCUUAGAAGCAGCCACCCUUUAAAGAAAGCGUAAUAGCUCACUAGUCGAGUCGGCCUGCGCGGAAGAUGUAACGGGGCUAAGCCAUGCACCGAAGCUGCGGCUACAUACUAUGUAUGUGGGGUAGGGGAGCGUUCUGUAAGCCGUUGAAGGUGGAUUGAGAAGUCUGCUGGAGGUAUCAGAAGUGCGAAUGCUGACAUGAGUAACGAUAAUGGGAGUGAAAAACUCCCACGCCGGAAGACCAAGGUUUCCUAUCCCAUGCUAAUCAGGGUAGGGUAAGUCGGCCCCUAAGGCGAGGCCGAGAGGCGUAGUCGAUGGGAAUCAGGUUAAUAUUCCUGAACCGAUAUAUACUGCGAUGGGGGGACGGAGAAGGCUAGGCAAGCCGGGUGUUGGUAAUCCCGGUGAAAGUAUGUAGGUUGGCGGCUUAGGUAAAUCCGGGCUGCUAAGACUGAGAUACGAGACGAGUACCUACGGGUGCGAAGUUGUUGAUGCCAUGCUUCCAGGAAAAGCCUCUAAGCUUCAGGUAUAUAUUGACCGUACCCGAAACCGACACAGGUGGUCAGGUAGAGAAUACUAAGGCGCUUGAGAGAACUCGGGUGAAGGAACUAGGCAAAAUAGUACCGUAACUUCGGGAGAAGGUACGCCAGAGCUAGUGAACCCCUUGCGGGGGGAGCUGGAGCUGGCCGCAGUGACCAGGUGGCUGGGACUGUUUAUUAAAAACACAGCACUCUGCAAACACGAAAGUGGACGUAUAGGGUGUGACACCUGCCCGGUGCCGGAAGGUUAAUUGAUGGGGUUAGCGUAAGCGAAGCUCUUGAUCGAAGCCCCGGUAAACGGCGGCCGUAACUAUAACGGUCCUAAGGUAGCGAAAUUCCUUGUCGGGUAAGUUCCGACCUGCACGAAUGGUGUAACCAUGGCCACGCUGUCUCCACCCGAGACUCAGUGAAAUUGAAAUCGCCGUGAAGAUGCGGUGUACCCGCGGCUAGACGGAAAGACCCCGUGAACCUUUACUACAGCUUGGCACUGAACAUUGAA
rnacentral:rRNA from 1 species